AAGCUACUCAUUCCUAGACAGAGGCCUUUUCUAAGGAUUUUCCUGAUUUUUCUGUGCCUGCAGCAGGAUCUCCAUAUUUCACCAUGGCAGGGAGGAUGUCAAGUCACGUAUAGGUCCUCAGGAAAUGGAACAGCCUUUUGGUCUUUUGGCUCUGGAAGGACCCAGUCUUACCCUCUUGAAAUAACUGACUGCCCCAUCUGAAAUGGAAAUCAAAGGAAGAAAAAUGUAAAUGUUACAAAACGCCUGCACACAGGAGGAGGGGUGGAUGUCGUAUACUUAGACUUCAGGAAGGCCUUCGAUACAGUAUCCCACCCCAUACUGCACAAUUCCAUCAGAACCUUUGGUGAAAUCCUGACCCCAUUGCAGUUCAACAGCAGUUUUGUUAUUGACUAUAAUGGAUUCAAGUUUGAUUUCAUCUGCAGGAUACUGACCACACCAUAGCUCUUUCAUAGAAAAAAUUCUAGUGGGGCAGAGCACCUGUGUAUGUCCAUUCCCAGCAGCUAUCACAGCAGCUUGUCUGUACUUGAAAGUUAAUUUGGAUUAAGGUGGAGUGUGAA